rnacentral:rRNA from 1 species
UGGUGGGUAGUUUGACUGGGGCGGUCUCCUCCUAAAGAGUAACGGAGGAGCACGAAGGUUGGCUAAUCCUGGUCGGACAUCAGGAGGUUAGUGCAAUGGCAUAAGCCAGCUUGACUGCGAGCGUGACGGCGCGAGCAGGUGCGAAAGCAGGUCAUAGUGAUCCGGUGGUUCUGAAUGGAAGGGCCAUCGCUCAACGGAUAAAAGGUACUCCGGGGAUAACAGGCUGAUACCGCCCAAGAGUUCAUAUCGACGGCGGUGUUUGGCACCUCGAUGUCGGCUCAUCACAUCCUGGGGCUGAAGUAGGUCCCAAGGGUAUGGCUGUUCGCCAUUUAAAGUGGUACGCGAGCUGGGUUUAGAACGUCGUGAGACAGUUCGGUCCCUAUCUGCCGUGGGCGCUGGAGAACUGAGGGGGGCUGCUCCUAGUACGAGAGGACCGGAGUGGACGCAUCACUGGUGUUCGGGUUGUCAUGCCAAUGGCACUGCCCGGUAGCUAAAUGCGGAAGAGAUAAGUGCUGAAAGCAUCUAAGCACGAAACUUGCCCCGAGAUGAGUUCUCCCUGACUCCUUGAGAGUCCUGAAGGAACGUUGAAGACGACGACGUUGAUAGGCCGGGUGUGUAAGCGCAGCGAUGCGUUGAGCUAACCGGUACUAAUGAACCGUGAGGCUUAACC